CCUCCUCUCCAAACUAAAGAGUCCCAAACGCUGCAGCCUCUCCUCAUAAGGAAGGUGCUCCAGUCCCUCAAUCAUCCUUGUUGCCCUUCUCUGCACUUUUUCUAUCUCCUCAAAACUUUUUCUAUCUACUUCCUGUAGAUUUCAUUUCAAGAGCACGAGGACUAGCAUGUCUGUGUCUCCGCUAGCAAUCCUGACCUUGGGUAUGAUGAGAGGAAUGUACUGGAUGAAUCGGCUGGUUGGACAACUGACACAGAAGGCCUGAAACAGUUCCCAAUUGGGUCAGUACUUUGGCCCAGCCCCUGAGAUCCUGGGUAUUAAUGUCAGACAUAUUCGCAACCAACCACUUCACACAAUACAAUGGAGUAUGCGGAGAAUGGCUAGGACUGGUCACAUGUGCACGUUGUGGGAGUCAACAUUUGAGGGGUUUGCUGGAAGGUGGAUAGACCUUCAGAGGUCUUCUGAGCUAUGUCUGCUGCCAAGGACACUUCUGCUAAAUUUGUACCCGUUGUCAGUAUCCAACAUAAUGGGGAAUCCCGCCUGGAGAGAGGCGUGUCUGUGUGUGUUUGUGUGUAUGUGCGUGUGUGCAGUUUCACUUAUACAUGUAUACAUAUUAAUUUUUUGCCGACUUAAUUUUCAUGACCAAAUUUUGCUGAUUCUUCUCCCACCCUCCCAGCUGUUUGGUUGCUCGCCCGGCAGCACCCGGCUUCCAGCCUUCUUUUUUCUUUCGAUUUUUGCAAACAAAUUCCUGAUACAGGGACCAGUCUGCCAAGCACCGUGGCUUCCGUACUUGUCGUUGUGAGUCGCCGGCGUGUUUUGCAAACCCCCUGAUCCAGGCAAUGAGUAGACCCGGUAGGAGUCAGCAGUCCCACUGCUAAGUUUAGGAAACGUACUUGCCCCAUCCUUCUCUUGCAAUUACAAACCUAAAUGGUGUGUUCCCUUCGGGCACUUCCGCACAUGCGGGAUAAUGCGCUUCCAACUCACUUUCACAAUUGUUUGAAAGUGGAUUUUGCUAUUUCGCACAGUAAUAUCCAGCUGCAAAGUGCAUUGAAGGUGCGUUAUUCUGCUUGUGCGAGAGUGUCCUAAGUGAGGAUCACCUUGACCCCCCAAAAACCGAGCAGAGGAGGAUGUCAAGAUACUUCUUGUCUUCUGCCCGCCAGAUCGCAUUUCUUGUCAACAGACAGUACUGAUCAAUGGUUAGAUGGAGAGCAGAGGGUAAGAAAAUGAGUCCCUGGUCUCAACUAGGCACCCUUUCCAUAGAUGUAAGCAUUACGGACAGCACCAUUUAUUUGUUAGGCUGUGAACGUUCGGUACAGAAGCAGAACAGGAAAUACCCUUUUGCACUUGAGGAAAAGGAAAUUCACAAGCGUAUGAAUCUGCCUUUAUUCAUCCACAGCGCUUCUUGGAUCAGGGUGAAUGUAUUUGUAUAGCUCGGUCGGUUCUAAAGCCCUUAUUCGUUCCCAGCUUUUUAUUAUUAUUGUUAUUAUUAUUAUUAUUAUUAUUUUAUAAGUGGGAAAGGAAAAAAAUGCAGAAAAACAAAGAAAGACAAUCAAACGCUCGGAGCUUAAAACGAAGUAUGCGUGCAACCUACCAUCUCACUUGAAAUUUAAUAAAAAAAAGAAGAAAGAAAAUAAUUAUGUAAAUAUAACAUAGAGUUAUAGAUUUAUAUUUUGUUCAUAACACAUAGUGUAAUAUAAGUUGUAUAUUUUCAUGUUUUUGGUUUUAUGUUACCAUUCACGCCACAAUAAAUAAUAAUAAAAAAAAUAGGAAUUGCUGUACUCUGAAAAAAAAUGGGUUGUCAGAAUCCUGGUUUGGGGAGAAUUUUUUGGGGUUUUUUUUUUCAUUGCCCUUUUUCAGUAUUAUUUGCCCUGCAAGGCACCAAUAAAAACAGAAAAUGUGUUCUUUACCUAGA